CUACAAAGGACUUGACGGGGGCCCGCACAAGCGGUGGAGCAUGUGGUUUAAUUCGAUGAUACGCGAGGAACCUUACCUGGGCUCAAAUGUAUGUUGACGUAUUCUGAAAGGGAUACUUCUUCGGACAAUAUACAAGGUGCUGCAUGGUUGUCGUCAGCUCGUGCCGUGAGGUGUCGGGUUAAGUCCCAUAACGAGCGCAACCCCUAUCAUUAGUUGCCAUCAGGUCAAGCUGGGGACUCUAAUGAAACUGCCUACGCAAGUAGUGAGGAAGGUGGGGAUGACGUCAAAUCAGCACGGCCCUUACAUCCAGGGCUACACACGUGCUACAAUGGCCGGCACAGCGGGAAGCGAAUGGGCGACCAUGAGCGGAUCCCCAUAAAAGCCGGUCCCAGUUCGGAUUGCAGUCUGCAACUCGACUGCAUGAAGUUGGAAUCGCUAGUAAUCGCGGAUCAGCCAAGCCGCGGUGAAUACGUUCCCGGGCCUU
rnacentral:rRNA from 1 species